rnacentral:rRNA from 1 species
CUGCUGCCUUCCGUAGGAGUCUGGGCCGUGUCUCAGUCCCAGUGUGGGGGGCCUUCCUCUCAGAACCCCUACGCAUCGUCGCCACGGUGGGCCGUCACCCCGCCGUCUAGCUAAUGCGCCGCAUGCCCAUCCGCCACCGGAUCGCUCCUUUGGCCACCGGAGGAUGCCCUCCGGUGGCGUCACGGGGUAUUAGGCCGCGUUUCCGCGGGUUAUCCCCCUGUGGCCGGCCAGGUUGCAUACGUGUUACUCACCCGUGCGCCGGUCGCCGGG